UGCAGAUGUGGCAGCAGAGUCCACCAUAUAAUCUGCUGGAUUCAAGCUCUAACCCUGACCUCAGCCUCAGCCUGUUCCAGCCUCAGUCACUGCUCCAGUGACUCCUGGUGACCCCAGAUUUCAAAGGAGUCACAGAUUCACUCACCUCGAGCUUUCCAUUUUGGUGCUCUCUCCCCAAAUCCCUUUAUUAUCCUAGCCCAUCAGUGUCUUUUGGACCUUCCAAAGUCAUGCAGCCUGCAGCAGUUCCGGAAGAAAAUCAUCUCCAAGAGCUCCAUGUCCUCUCCCCAUAGUUUGCUCAUCUGCCUCCACUGAAUCUUCUCAUGACUCAAAUUUAUCUGUUCUUCCUGACCUGACUGAUGAUCCUAACACCUACUUCAGACUCAGUGCCAUUGUUUUCCCCUUGCCUAAUACUAAUCCUAAGCAAAACUCUUGCCCUAGUCAUAAAGAUGGAAGAUAUAUGCAACCUGCCUUAAAUCCAGGUGGACCUCCUAGAAUGCUUUUUCUGGGUAGAAACUACACUGAGAUCCGGAGUCCCAUUAGCUGGGACUGGGGUUGGGGCCGAGGUUAAUAUUGUUCCCCAAAUGAACUUUAGGAUUUAGUUUAGACUCAUGUUUCACAAGAGCUGUGAGCUAGGAAAAUAUGGGAAAAUCAUGACACUUUCAGUGUCAUAUUUCCAGCCACUAGUGCUGGUUGCACAGGCGAGUAGGUCAGGAGUUUUCUGUCCCAGAUUUCCCUGCCAGCUCUCACAUGGAUAAAACAAACAUGGGUACUGUAGGUGCAUGGUCUGACAAAAGUCCUCCUUGGAAAAAAACAGACUUCAAGGAAGAGUAUCUGAUGUCACCACUGAGAGAUGACUGGGCUGGAACAGUUUCCUUAAUUAACCUGUAAAUAAAAUGUUAAAUAAAAUAUUUGAUGGACUGCAGCUCCUUGCACAGUGGUGCAAGGAUCUAUGUCUGAGGAAAUUCUUCUGAAUUCCAAAAGAGAUCAAGAUACUUUGACUGAGAAAGGACUGUAUCCAAUAAUAACUCUCAAGUUCACAAAUAAGUCUUUGAUCUCCUCUGUUUCAUGACUCCACAUUGCUUUUGAAAGACAGCUGAAACUUCAACCCCCACAGUAAAAUUCAGCUUUUUUUUUUUUUUUAAUCCUAUUUACAACAAACACAGGCAGGUGGCAGGUCCUGGUGGUUUCCCUUCAUUGCAGCUCAGUGACAAAUGAGAGAGAGAGAGGAAUAGAAUGGAAUAGAAUAGAAUAGAAUAGAAUAGAAUAGAAUAGAAUAGAAUAGAAUAGAAUAGAAUAGAAAUUUCAGUUGGAAGGAGUGUGACAGCUACUCCUGUUUUGCAUAUAACAAGAGGGCUUGGGAUUUAUGUAAUCAACAGUUCAAAAGCUUUCA